CAAAGUUAAUCAGAUAUUCGGGUGGCACGUUGAACUCAACGUCUUGUGCUCUGAAAAAAGUAAAUGCAAAUCCAAUGUUACUAAUUUGGGCUGUGCUACGAAGGGGCCAGCGAAGGUUGUAUGCAAGCUCUCCUGCGAGUUCAGGUUCAGGCCUAAACCCGUGAGAUCCGUACCCAAGGAGAGCGUCACCAGAUUGGGAUCCGUUUCUGCAGCCCGAAUGAACGUCAGCAGGCCAACCAUGCCGAACUGGUUGUUCACCAUGGUCGCUGGUAUGUUUGUGACCUUCCCUAUUUAUGCAAAACGAACGAAAGUAUAGCUGUUGGGCUUUUGUGAUGUACACCGAAAUCACCGAAUUAUAAUAUGAAACAAAUAAUAAUAGAAACCAAGAAAUCCAUUGAUUAAAUGGUAUCAAUCAUCCAUAGAGUGUUCAAUUCAAAGCUCCAAAUGAUCAAAAGGUCAAAAAUAGCUCUCUCACAUGUUGUGAGAAGUGUUCCAGCACUCACCAUCUGGCGAAGUUUGCACGCCGCUCUUUACAAGUUUAUCGUUGCUGGAAUUAUCGUUCAGAUGCUCGCCGCCCGCUCCGCUCCCAGACGAGCCGCUUCCACUCCCCAGGCCGCCGCCUACGCCCAUCAUGGCAUUGCUGUUGGGUACGCUGUUGACGCCGCCAAUGCCGCUGUUACUGCCCACCAGUCCUACAUGGGACCCGCCGACAACGCCGCUGGCUGCAUUGCCGCCGACUCCUCCGCCUCCUGAGCUACCAGCUCCUCCGCCGCCGCCUACUGCCAAGCCCCCUAUACCACUGCCAACGGCACCGAGACCAUUGCCGCCUACAACGCCGACGUUGGAACCGCUGCUGCCGCUCGCUGAUCCGCUGACCACUAUCGAAUUCAUCGGCUUUUCCGUGCCGUCCAAGUGGUUCUCUGUGGACGCACCUCCGGAGCCUCCUGUUCCGGCGACGCUCCCCACCGCGUUCGUUGUGCCGUCCGAGUUUUGGGUGCCCGGUAACGCAGGGAAGUCCUCGUUAGACAUCGUGAACUCCGAUUGCUCUGACGUCGGUUGCUUCACCAUGCCAACUGAAAUCAGAAGAGGAGCGAGAUGGUCGCCCAGGGCGAAUGAGUGAAGCGAAGAAAUUAGUACUAAAGCAGUUUAAGCUCAUACAAUACACACGAUUUUAGUUAAUUUCUUUUUCCUCAACCAAUUAAAAUCAAUGAGUAGGUCCAAACAGCAUUUGUUCAAGGUUUUAAGACAUGUUACUGUGAAUUUAAAGUUAUCCUUCACCUAUAUAUGAACUUAUAAAAGGUUAAGUCGCUUGCUUUAUGUGAACAGUUUCUUUUUAUUCAUUGAUCAUGUUUCAAAGUAAAUGAGAUUGCAUAU
rnacentral:lncRNA from 1 species